UACGUAGGGGGCAAGCGUUGUCCGGAUUUAUUGGGCGUAAAGAGCGUGUAGGCGGCCAUACAGGUCAGCUGUGAAAACUCGAGGCUCAACCUCGAGACGUCGGUUGAAACCGUAUGGCUAGAGUCCGGAAGAGGAGAGUGGAAUUCCCGGUGUAGCGGUGAAAUGCGCAGAUAUCGGGAAGAACGCCCGUGGCGAAGGCGGCUCUCUGGGACGGUACUGACGCUGAGACGCGAAAGCGUGGGGAGCGAACAGG
rnacentral:rRNA from 1 species